rfam:Eubacterium brachy ATCC 33089 genomic scaffold Scaffold5, whole genome shotgun sequence.
AGAUAUAAACUAUUGACUUAACGGCAAUUUAUAAAUUAUAAUAUAAGUCACGUUAUAAAUUGCCUUUUGGCAACCCUACAAAGAGUUUGGGUCCUGUGCAAUAAGAGUCUGUGAACCUUGUCAGGUCCGGAAGGAAGCAGCAAUAAGCAGAGCACCUUAUGUGCCACAGCAAAGCCUGAAUUCAUUUUGUGGGGUUGCCAACAGGCAAUUUUUAUUU